rnacentral:rRNA from 1 species
UGAGCAAUCUGCCCUUCUCAUCGGAAUAAGCGUUGGAAACGACGUCUAAUGCCGAAUACGACCUCCUUUCGCAUGAUCGGAGGUGGAAAGCUCCGGCGGAGAUGGAUGAGCUCGCGGCCUAUCAGCUUGUUGGUGAGGUAACGGCUCACCAAGGCUUCGACGGGUAGCCGGCCUGAGAGGGCGACCGGCCACACUGGGACUGAGAUACGGCCCAGACUCCGUAGGAGG